rnacentral:rRNA from 1 species
GCGGCCUAUCAGCUUGUUGGUGAGGUAAUGGCUCACCAAGGCGACGACGGGUAGCCGGCCUGAGAGGGCGACCGGCCACACUGGGACUGAGACACGGCCCAGACUCCUACGGGAGGCAGCAGUGGGGAAUAUUGGGCAAUGGACGAAAGUCUGACCCAGCGACGCCGCGUGCGGGAUGAAGGCCUUCGGGUUGUAAACCGCUUUCAGCAGGGAAGAAGCGAAAGUGACGGUACCUGCAAAAGAAGCACCGGCUAACUAUGUGCCAGCAGCCGCGGUAAUACAUAGGGUGCAAGCGUUGUCCGGAAUUAUUGGGCGUAAAGAGCUCGUAGGUCGUUAAUUACGUCGGGUGUGAAAAUCUGGGGCUCAACCCCAGACCUGCACUCGAUACGGGUUAGCUAGAGUUUGGUAGGGGAGACUGGAAUUCCU